GAGUUUGAUCAUGGCUCAGGACGAACGCUGGCGGUGCGCCUUAUGCAUGCAAGUCGAGCGAAGCUUUUCAGUAGUUUACUACAGAAAAUGACUGAGCGGCGAACGGGUGAGUAACGCGUGAGCAACCUACCUUAGUUACUGGGAUAGCCCGAGGAAACUCGGAUUAAUACCGGAUAUUCUUAUUUAAUCACAUGAUUUUUUAAGGAAAGGUCAGCCGAACUAAGAUGGGCUCGCGUUCUAUCAGCUAGUUGGUAGGGUAAUGGCCUACCAAGGCUACGACGGAUAGCUGGUCUGAGAGGACGAUCAGCCACACUGGGACUGAGACACGGCCCAGACUCCUACGGGAGGCUGCAGCAGGGAAUAUUGCGCAAUGAGCGAAAGCCUGACGCAGCAACGCCGCGUGUGGGAUGACGGCUUUCGGGUUGUAAACCACUUUCAGUGAUGACGAAAAUGACGGUAAUCACAGAAGAAGGUCCGGCCAACUACGUGCCAGCAGCCGCGGUAACACGUAGGGACCGAGCGUUGUCCGGAUUUAUUGGGCGUAAAGAGCUCGUAGGCGGUUCUGUAAGUCGGAUGUGAAAACUCAGGGCUCAACCCUGAGACGCCAUCUGAUACUGCAGUGACUAGAGUCCGGUAGAGGAAGAUGGAAUUCCUGGUGUAGCGGUGGAAUGCGCAGAUAUCAGGAGGAACACCAACGGCGAAGGCAGUCUUCUGGGCCGGUACUGACGCUGAGGAGCGAAAGCAUGGGGAGCAAACAGGAUUAGAUACCCCUGGUAGUCCAUGCCGUAAACGUUGGGCACUAGGUGUGGGGUCU
rnacentral:rRNA from 1 species